rnacentral:rRNA from 1 species
GCGAGUGAAGAGGGAAGAGCCCAAGAUUGAAAGCUGGCGUCUUCGGCGUCCGCAUUGUAAUCUCAAGAAGUGUUUUCCGCUUCGGACCAAGCCUAAGUCCCCUGGAAAGGGGCAUCAUAGAGGGUGAUAAUCCCGUACAUGGCUUGGAGCGCCCGAGGCUUUGUGAUACGCUUUCUAAGAGUCGAGUUGUUUGGGAAUGCAGCUCAAAAUGGGUGGUAAAUGCCAUCUAAGGCUAAAUAUUGGGGAGAGACCGAUAGCGAACAAGUACAGUGAUGGAAAGAUGAAAAGAACUUUGAAAAGAGAGUUAAACAGUACGUGAAAUUGCCAAAAGGGAAGGGUAGGAGGUCAGAGAUGCGGCCUGGGAUUCAGCCUUGCUUUUGCUUGGUGUUUUUCCCAGAUUGCAGGCCAACGUCGGUUUUGGGCACUGGAGAAGGGUAGGAGGAACGUGGCACCCCUCGGGGUGUGUUAUAGCCUCCUACUGGAUACAGCGACCGAGACCGAGGACAGCAGCGUACUCGCAAGAGCGGGCCUUCGGGCACCUUUACGCUUAGGGCGUUGGCAUAAUGGCCCUCUACCACCC